rnacentral:lncRNA from 1 species
GAUGCUGCGGCGGGUUCUGGGGGGUCUCAGGGUGUUUUUUGGGGUCUCAGGGUGGAUUUUGGGGUCUCAUCAGGGGGUCUCCCCCCUCUCCCCCCCAGGAGAUGCUGUGAUGAGUUUGGGGGGUCUCAGGGUGGUUUUUGGGGUCUCAGGAUGGGUUUUGGGGUCUCAGGGUGGGUUUUGGGGUCCCAGGGUGGUUUUUAGGGUCUCAGGGUGGUUUUUGGGGUCUCAGGGUGUUUUUUGGGGUCUCAGGAUGGUUUGGGGGGUCUCAGGGUGGAUUUUGGGGUCUCAGGGUGUUUUUUGGGGUCUCAGGGUGGAUUUUGGGGUCUCAUCGGGGGGGGUCUCACCCCUCUCUCUCCUGGGGGGUCUCAGGGUGGAUUUUGGGGUCCCAGGGUGGUUUUUGGGGUCCCAGGGUGGUUUUUGGGGUCUCAGUAGGGGGGUCUCACCCCUCUCUCUCCUGGGGGGUCUCAGGGUGGUUUUUGGGGUCUCAGGAUGGAUUUUGGGGUCUCAGUGGGGGGGUCUCACCCCUCUCUCUCCUGGGGGGUCUCAGGGUGGUUUUUGGGGUCUCAGGGUGGAUUUUGGGGUCCCAGGGUGUUUUUGGGGUCUCAGGGUGGUUUUUUGGGGUCCCGGGGUGUUUAUUGGGGUCUCAUCAGGGGGUCUCUCCCCCAGGAGAUGCUGCGGCGGGUCCUGGGGGGUCGCCGGGGGGGGGUCCCGGCCCUGCCCCUCCCCCCCUCCCGCGGGGCCGCCGAUCAGACCCCGCCCGACCUGGCCCGGGAGCGAUCCAAGGCCGUCACCUCCUUCUACCACCAACCCGCCAUCGACGCCGCGGCGGACAAGGUGAGAGCUCCCAGUAUACCCAGUACACCCCCAGUACACCCAGUACAGCCCCAGUACAGCCCCAGUACAGCCCCAGUACAGCCCCAGUGACACCAGUAACCCCACCUCCUUCUACCACCAACCCGCCAUCGACGCGGCUGCGGACAAGGUGAGGGCUCCCAGUAACACCAGUAACACCAGUGACACCAUCCCAGUAACCCCAGUGACACCAGUGAUAGCAGGAACC